CCCUUAGAUGCUCUGGGCCGCACGCGCGCUACACUGGUCGAUGCAACGAGUUUCUUUCCUUGGCCGACAGGCCUGGGCAAUCUUUGAACAUCGAUCGUGAUCGGGAUAGAUUCUUGUAAUUUUUGAUCUUAAACGAGGAAUUCCUAGUAAACGCAAGUCAUCAGCUUGCAUUGAUUACGUCCCUGCCCUUUGUACACACCGCCCGUCGCACCUACCGAUUGAAUGGUCCGGUGAAGCCUCGGGAUUGUGGCGAGUUCCCUUUAUUGGGAGUUUGUCGCGAGAACUUGUCUAAACCUUAUCAUUUAGAGGAAGGUGAANUCGUAACA
rnacentral:rRNA from 1 species